GACGAACGCUGGCGGCGUGCCUAAUACAUGCAAGUAGAACGCUGAAGGAGGAGCUUGCUUCUCUGGAUGAGUUGCGAACGGGUGAGUAACGCGUAGGUAACCUGCCUGGUAGCGGGGGAUAACUAUUGGAAACGAUAGCUAAUACCGCAUAAGAGUAGAUGUUGCAUGACAUUUGCUUAAAAGGUGCAAUUGCAUCACUACCAGAUGGACCUGCGUUGUAUUAGCUAGUUGGUGGGGUAACGGCUCACCAAGGCGACGAUACAUAGCCGACCUGAGAGGGUGAUCGGCCACACUGGGACUGAGACACGGCCCAGACGCCUACGGGAGGCAGCAGUAGGGAAUCGUCGGCAAUGGACGGAAGUCUGACCGAGCAACGCCGAGUGAGUGAAGAAGGUUUUCGGAUCGUAAAGCUCUGUUGUAAGAGAAGAACGAGUGUGAGAGUGGAAAGUUCACACUGUGACGGUAUCUGACCAGAAAGGGACGGCUAACUACGUG
rnacentral:rRNA from 1 species